rnacentral:tRNA from 1 species
GCCUGUGGCCUAGCCAGAUAAGGCGUCCGGCUUUUAACCGAAAGAUCAGGGGUUCAAAUCCCCUUGGG